UAACAUUUGGAAACAGAUGCUAAUACCGCAUAAAUCCAAGAACCGCAUGGUUCUUGGCUGAAAGAUGGCGUAAGCUAUCGCUUUUGGAUGGACCCGCGGCGUAUUAGCUAGUUGGUGAGGUAACGGCUCACCAAGGCAAUGAUACGUAGCCGAACUGAGAGGUUGAUCGGCCACAUUGGGACUGAGACACGGCCCAAACUCCUACGGGAGGCAGCAUG
rnacentral:rRNA from 1 species